AGAAGAUACUAAGGGCGCACGGCGGAUGCCUUGGCACAGGAAGUCGAAGAAGGACGCGGCAAGCUGCGAUAAGCUCCGGGGAGGCGCAAACGGCCUUCGAUCCGGAGAUCUCCGAAUGGGGGAACCCAGCAGGGGUCAUGCCCUGCUACCCGCGCCUGAAUGAAAUAGGGCGCGAGGAGGCAACCCGGGGAACUGAAACAUCUAAGUACCCGGAGGAAGAGAAAUCAACCGAGAUUGCGGGAGUAGCGGCGAGCGAAACCGCACCAGCCCAAACCCAUGCACGUGCAAGCUUGAGGGCGUUGCUGCAUGAGGGGUUGUGGGACCGCGCAUUCCAUGGGCCUCAGACCAUGGACGCAGUUACAAAUCCGCGCGGAAGCGGAACGGCCUGGGAAGGCCGGCGGAACAGGGUGAGAGCCCCGUACGCGAAUCCGCGCGGACUGCGAGUGCGGCGCCCGAGUAGCGCCGGGCACGUGAAACCCGGUGCGAACCUGGGGGGACCACCCUCCAAGGCUGAACACUCUCCUGUGACCGAUAGCGAACCAGUACCGUGAGGGAAAGGUGAAAAGCACCCCGAGAGGGGAGUGAAACAGUACCUGAAACCGUGCGCCUACAAGCAGUCGGAGCCCCCGAGCGGGGUGACGGCGUGCCUUUUGUAGAAUGAGCCAGCGAGUUGCGGUAUGCGGCGAGGUUAAGGUUUGAACCGAGCCGCAGUGAAAGCGAGCCUUUAAGAUGGCGAUAGAGUCGCAUGCUGCAGACGCGAAGCCGGGUGAGCUAUCCAUGGGCAGGCUGAAGCGGGGGUAAGACCCCGUGGAGGGCCGAACCCACUUCGGUUGAAAACGGAGGGGAUGACCCGUGGAUAGGGGUGAAAGGCCAAUCAAACCCGGAGAUAUCUCGUUCUCCCCGAAAUAGCUUUAGGGCUAGCCUCGGCCGUUCUCCGACGGCGGUAGAGCACUGGAUCGUCGAGGGGGCUUCACCGCCUACCGACACGAACCAAACUCCGAAUGCCGCCGGAUCAGAGGCCGGGAGUCAGAACAUGUGGGCUAAGCUGUGUGUUCGAGAGGGAAACAGCCCAGACCGCCCGCUAAGGUCCCCAAGUUUAUGCUGAGUGGCAAAGGAUGUGCGUUUGCCUAGACAACCAGGAUGUUGGCUUAGAAGCAGCCAUGCAUUUAAAGAGUGCGUAACAGCUCACUGGUCAAGUGGACAUGCGCCGACAAUUCACGGGGCUAAGCAUAACACCGAAGCGGCGGACUAAUCUAUAUUAGUGGUAGGGGAGCUUUCCCCGCAGCGGAGAAGCCGAGAGGGCGACCCUCGGUGGAGCGCGGGGAAGUGAGAAUGCUGGCAUGAGUAACGAGAGCGGCGCGAGAAACGCCGCCGCCGUAAGCCUAAGGGUUCCUGGGCAAGGCUAAUCCUCCCAGGGUCAGUCGGGAGCUAAGGCGAGGCCGAGAGGCGUAGCCG
rnacentral:rRNA from 1 species